CUUUUUUUUUUUUUUUUUUCGAUGGCCUGCAAUUUAGUUUUCACUUAGUCGAGUGUAACUUUUGUUUUUCUUUUAAAACCAAACUUUGUUGUGGUGUGAGUGUGUUUGAGGUCUACUCACGAUAUAUCAAAGACUUAAUGGUUGAAUGGUUAGAUGAUUGAAUGGUUAAAUGACUGAAUGACUAAGGGAUCGGAAGAGGUUCUGCUUGUAGACCACAGUGCUUGUCUUUGGACGAAAGUUUUCUUAGCAGUAUACAAGAGAUAACUUUUGUGAACGAAGAGCUAUAUUAAGAUCUGCAGCAAUAGUUGCUCCCCUUUCAGGAAGUGAGACAUGAACAGAGCGGACUUACAAAGUGUGUGUAGAUCUUUUCUCGUUUCAAUGUCUUUUUGUUUUUUGUUUCCAACUGCCCCACAUACUGGGUGGUCUUGACCUAAGUCUGCAUGAGCUUUUGUGUAUAAAUAUUUAUAUAACUAUAUUAUGCAUAUACAUAUGUUUGUAAUCUAUUGUUUGUAGAAGAAAAAAAUAGCUGUUAUACGAUUGGCUUAUCCAUGUGUCACUGAAAUACGAUUGGCUCAUCCGUGUGUCACUGAAAGACGAUUGGCUCAUCCGUGUGUCACUGAAAGACGAUUGGCUGAUCCAUGUGUCA